GGAAGUAAAAGUCGUAACAAGGUCUCCGUUGGUGAACCAGCGGAGGGAUCAUUACCGAGUUUACAACUCCCAAACCCAAUGUGAACGUUACCAAACUGUUGCCUCGGCGGGGUCACGCCCCGGGUGCGUCGCAGCCCCGGAACCAGGCGCCCGCCGGAGGAACCAACCAAACUCUUUCUGUAGUCCCCUCGCGGACGUAUUUCUUUACAGCUCUGAGCAAAAAUUCAAAAUGAAUCAAAACUUUCAACAACGGAUCUCUUGGUUCUGGCAUCGAUGAAGAACGCAGCGAAAUGCGAUAAGUAAUGUGAAUUGCAGAAUUCAGUGAAUCAUCGAAUCUUUGAACGCACAUUGCGCCCGCCAGUAUUCUGGCGGGCAUGCCUGUCCGAGCGUCAUUUCAACCCUCGAACCCCUCCGGGGGAUCGGCGUUGGGGAUCGGGACCCCUCACACGGGUGCCGGCCCCUAAAUACAGUGGCGGUCUCGCCGCAGCCUCUCCUGCGCAGUAGUUUGCACAACUCGCACCGGGAGCGCGGCGCGUCCACGUCCGUAAAACACCCAACUUUCUGAAAUGUUGACCUCGGAUCAGGUAGGAAUACCCGCUGAACUUAAGCAUAUCAAUAAGCGGAGGA
rnacentral:rRNA from 1 species